ACACUACCUUCUUACAGUCUUCUAGCCAGAUCUGUUGUACAGUUAGAAAUGCCCAGAUUAAUUUUCCCUGCUUUGACAAGCUCCUUUACAUUUCAGGAGGCCAACAUUUUUAGUGCAUCCAUAGGAAGCGUCUCCACUACAGCCUUUCACCACACGAGAGACAGACUGAAGAUGUAGGCAGCUGACAAAUGUGAAAGCAAUGAAGAGGUGUUCUGAGGCUGACAGUGCUUUUCAUAGUGCACGCAUUUUCUGGGAAAGGCAUAAGGAGGGAGAUAAACAGGAGACGAUUUUGGCAGGCUGAGAAGAAGCUGCAGCAGACCAAGAUGUUCCAAAGAGAAGAUCACAUCAAAAAGGUCCUCAGGCUCCAUCAGCCACCGUCCAAUCACAUUGCAGCAACACAGGUGUUGCCAUGAGAAUCAGGAGGCAUCCUGUCUGUUUCACAACUUGUCUUUUUGUCCUGCUGGGUAUACACCAGAGAGAGCUAUAGAGGCAGAGCACACAUUUCAAGAGAGCUGAGAAACCAGUUCCUGCACAUACAUGCAUCUGUGUAAGAGUACUCCAAGACCAGAGGUCUCUGUGGCACUGCAUGGAUAUAAGAGCUGUUGCAUGUGUGGGCUUAGACUCUGCUUUUUGAGAUACGAUGUUCCGAAGAGGAUUUAUUCUAUUUCUUCCCCGACUUGUAGGCCUGCUGGUUGUGGCCUGUUGCUCAAUGUCUAUUGUUUAUAUGUUGGCUUGCACACCCAAGGGUGACAACCAGCAGUUUGCCUUGCCCAGGGUGCACAGUCCGACUGUGAAGGAGGGAUAUGAAGCCAUUCUGCAAGAGCGAGAAGAGCAACACCGCAAUUACAUCAUCAGCUUGAAGAAACAAAUUGCCCAGUUGAAGGCUGAGCUCCAGGGCAGGACUGAGCAGCUUAAGAACAUGCAGAAGCAGUACCCAGAUUCCUUGGACAUUCAGCUCGACCACAGUAAGCCAGAAAAGGCCCAGGCCAACCUGUUGGCUUUCCUCCGUUCCCAAGUAGACAAAGCAGAGGUGCACAGCGGCGUUAAGCUGUCCACAGAGUACGCGGCGGUGCCCUUUGAGAGCUUCACCCUCCAGAAGGUGUACCAGCUGGAGACAGGGCUGACACGGCACCCAGAGGAGAAACCCGUAAGGAAGGACAAGCGAGAUGAGUUGAUAGAGGUGAUCGAGUUAGCAGUGGGGAGCUUGAACAAGCCAGAUGGGGUCAGCAAAGCAAAACCCCGUGUAUACACAGCCUCCGACUUCGUUGAAGGGAUCUACCGCACAGAAAAAAAUAAAGGCACAUUGUAUGAGCUGACUUUCAAAGGAGAUGCUAAACAUCAGUUCAAGAAGAUUGUUUUAUUCCGACCAUUUGGUCCUGUAAUGAAAGUGAAAAAUGAAAAUGUCAAUAUGGCUGACACACUUAUUAAUGUCAUUGUGCCAUUGGCCAAGAGAGCCAGCAAAUUUCGGCAAUUCAUGCAGAAUUUCAGGGAAAUGGGCAUUCAGCAGGAUGGGAGAAUUCACCUCACUGUAGUUUACUUUGGAAAAGAACAAAUGAAUGAAGUCAAAUCAAUACUUGAAAAUACCUCUAAGUCAGCCAACUUCAAGAACUUUACCUUCAUCCAGUUGAAUGAAGAGUUUUCCAGGGGCAAAGGAUUAGAUGUUGGUGCUCGAUUUUGGAAGGGAAACAAUGUUGUUCUCUUUUUUUGCGAUGUGGACAUAUACUUCACAGCUGAAUUCUUGAACUCCUGUAGAUUGAACACACAGCCAGGGAAGAAGGUAUUUUAUCCUGUUCUCUUCAGCCAGUAUAACCCCAGUAUAAUUUAUGGUCACCAUGAUUCCAUCCCAUCUUUAGAACAGCAGCUGAUUAUUAAAAAAGAAACUGGAUUUUGGAGAGACUUUGGUUUUGGGAUGACUUGCCAAUACAGAUCUGAUUUUAUCAACAUAGGUGGCUUUGACCUGGACAUCAAAGGCUGGGGUGGUGAAGAUGUGCAUCUGUACCGCAAGUACCUUCACAGCAACCUCAUGGUGAUCCGAACGCCUGUCAGGGGUCUCUUCCAUCUGUGGCAUGAAAAGCAGUGUCUUGACGAGCUGACUCCAGAGCAGUACAAAAUGUGCAUGCAGUCCAAGGCCAUGAAUGAGGCUUCUCAUGGCCAGCUUGGGAUGCUUGUUUUCAAGCAAGAGAUUGAGACACACCUCCAUAGACAGAAAUCGAGCAGUAAGAAGACAUGAAUCCAGAAAGGGAGGUUCAAAGCCUCUGAAUUGGACUUUAGGGUGUUUUGGAAAAGAGGUUUUAACAAGAAAAGUUGGGAUGAGACUGAAAGAGGAUGGAGAUUCCAGCAGGAUGACAGCAAAAGAAGAGGGAAAGCAUCUGUCCUCUCUACUUUUGUUCUUAUUCUAACGGGGCUUUUAAGUACUCCAUUAUCCUGACUGUUCAGCAUGCUCCUGGGGAAGACUUGAACACUUGAUGAGAUUCAAGGUCACAUCACAGAGACAAUGAACAUUAUGUGCUAUAAUGUGACCAGUGUGGUAUUCACACUAACAAAUGGAUGUUCUUUUCCUUUGAAAUGUUUGUAAGAUGUGUACAGUUAUUUAAAGGAUUCACCUUUUGGUGGGCCAAUAAUUAGGAGUUAUUUUCUACACCUAACUUGACAUAUCUAAAAAGGGCUAUUUUUUCAUAAGAGACUCUUGCUCUAAGAAGGACAUCUGGUUGUUAACCAUGGUAAAGCUGGAGUGACCAAAAAAUACUUUUCCUUUAAGGGGCUGGGAUAGGGGAACAGCAGCAGUGCAUUAACAGGCCAUUUCCAGUUCAUUCAGAGAAAGAGGUUUCUCAGAAAGUGUUUUCUAAACUUAAGAAAGAGAAAACCUUACUGGUCAAGUGUGAUGGUUGAAGCUGUUUGUUUUCCUCUGUGGACAGUGAACCAAAAGCAAUGAUCCACAUCUGUAUCGUGUGAAUCAGAUUGUCAAUUUCUGCUUUAGAAUGCUGUAUGUAUUUCAAGAUUUAUUUUUAAAUGAAAUUUGUUUGGCUUGGGAAUUAUUUUGCCAUACUUCAGGUUUUCUGCUUCUAGCCUUAGCAGGAAAUAGUACAGCCUUCCAAUGCUUGGAAAAUGCUCUGCAGAUCUGUGUUUCUGUAGAUGGGAACUGGGUUCAGAUAAGUGAUUUUUCUAUACAACCUGGGCAUUGGAAUACAGAAGUUUUAUCAUGCUGAAGAAAAGGAAAUACAUAUCAACCUGCAGUACUGAUUUAGCAGGAGGCUUUAAACUCCAGAUGCCAGAUACCAAUGGUGGUGAACAUUUUCUGACUUUAUACCAAAGUAUUUCUUCUAAACCAAAUACAGAGUCUUGCCCAGAGUAUAGAAAGCUUUUUGUAUUUAGCAAAAUAAAUUUUUGUGAUGGACUACCGGACCCCACAAAUUCUCUUAUGAUAAUUAUAGGUAGUAAUUGUAAAAAUUAGUCAUCUUCUUAAUAGUUUUUGUUGCCUAAAACUGUUGAAAGUCUGAGUUACUGCUCUUAUAAAGCAUAUUCUUUUAAUGCUGACUGCUAUUUACUAUUUUAAUAUAUACUAGCCAACAAAAAUUGCAUGGGCUUAUAAAUCCCAUUUGCUUACCUAAAUGCUGUUUCUCAGAGCAGUCUCUUUGUUUUAUAGAUUCAGAUUAAUUCAAACCAGUCUGAAGCAGAUUCAAAUUUGGUUUUUGGCUUGUAAAAGCUGGGGGAAGGAAGGUAGCACUGAACAAUGAAUGAACCACUCUUUGCUGUGUGGCUGUGCAGUAGGAAGAGUGCUACGAUCCUCUUCUGAAAGCACUGCAUGCAGGUUCUGCAGACAGAGACCAUGAUGCUGAGGUGGAAGUUUAGGCUUGGGGGGGAGAGGUGGAUAUUGAAGUGGUCGCCGAUCUCCUCCUGUGGCACCCUUGGAAAUAUCUGCCUGCUUCCCUCUGUGGAUACCCUGCAGUGAAAGUCUCCUGUAGUCAUCUCUGGCUUGCCGUGCAAGUGAGCGUCUCUUCUCAUCUGCUGCCUUGGAUUUCUGCACUGGAACAAAAAAGGAGUCCUACAGGAGCGAACAAGCAACAAGUUUAAAGCUUGCUACCC